ACCCGCUGAACUUAAGCAUAUCAAUAAGCGGAGGAAAAGAAACUAACAAGGAUUCCCCUAGUAACGGCGAGUGAAGCGGGAUGAGCUCAAAUUUGAAAUCUGGCUGGCUUCGUCAGUCCGAGUUGUAGUUUAAAGAGGCGUUUUCGGUGGCAGCCUGGGUACAAAUCCUUUGGAACAGGGUAUCAUAGAGGGUGAGAAUCCCGUCUCUGACUCGGUGGCCUGCUACUAUGUGAUACGUCUUCAAAGAGUCGAGUUGUUUGGGAAUGCAGCUCAAAAUGGGUGGUAAAUCUCAUCUAAGGCUAAAUACCGGCGAGAGACCGAUAGCGAACAAGUACCGUGAGGGAAAGAUGAAAAGAACUUUGAAAAGAGAGUUAAACAGUGCGUGAAAUUGUUGAAAGGGAAACGUUUGACACCAGUUUUGCGGGUGGGAAAUCAGUCGCGUUGCAGUGGAGAGUGGCAAGGGUUCAGACCGCAAGGCUGGCCUUUGUCUCAUCUUUGUUGCGGGCGAUGCACUUUUUCAUUUGCAGGUCAACAUCAGUUUCCUCCACUGGACAAAACCUCGAGAGAAUGUAGCAGCUCUGGCUGUGUUAUAGCUCUGGGGCGAUACAGUGGUGGGGACUGAGGUUUUCGCAGUGUGUGCUCUCGGGCAAGGCUGACUGGGUGCUACGGAAUGGUUCGGCGUACAAUGCUUGCAUUUUGCGUCGAGUCUGUUCUGUACUCGCUCAGCUCGGUUCUUCCACGCUUAGGAUGUUGACAUAAUGGUUUUAAACGACCCGUCUUGAAACACGG
rnacentral:rRNA from 1 species